AGGUGGUAUCUCUGUCUACAAAAGAGAAAAAGACAUAGUCAUUAAAAACGGGGAUAAAUUAAUGGUAACUGUUUUCUUCAUAAAGAGAUUUGAAAAAUUCUGCAUUUGAUAUGAACAAAAAAGAACAUGGACUUAUUAAGAAGCAAGAACUAAAGGGAUGAUUGUGGGAUUCAAAUUGUCCUCUUCCUCCUUAUCAUCAUCAUCAUCAUCAUUAUCCUGAUGAUUUCAGAACUAUACUGGGAUGUGCUGGUGAGUUUUUACAAUCUAGUCAC